rnacentral:lncRNA from 1 species
GGACUCCAGGCAGGACUCCAGUUUCUCCACAAUCACAACUCUUACUUUUUUUUUUUUUGGACACAGAAUCUUACCCGGUCACUAGGUUGGAGUGCAGUGGCGGGAUCUCGGCUCUCUGCAACCUCUGCUUCCCAGGCUCAAGUGAUUCUCCUGCCUCAGCCUCCUGAGUAGCUGGGAUUACAGGCACACGCCACCAUGACUGGCUAAUUUUUUGUAUUUUUAGUACAGACAGGGUUUCACCAUGUUGGCCAGGCUGGUCUCAAACUCCUGACCUCAAGUGAUCCACCCGCCUCAGCCUCCCAAAGUGCUGGGAGUGACAGGUGUUAGCCACCGUGCCUGGCCAGGACUGUUGCUUUAAGAAGGGUAUAUUAAGUGCCAUUUAGGAUGAAGCUUGUUUUUUCUUAAAGGAACUGACAGGAAAUCUUUUUAACUUUAUCCAGGCUCCUGGACCCCGCCAAUACCCAGCAAUUUGAUGACUUUAAGAAAUGCUAUGGGGAAAUCCUCUACCGUUGGGGUCUGAGAGAGAAGCGAGCUGAAGUGUUGAAGUUUGUCUCCUGUCCUCCUGACCCUCACAAAGGGAUCGAGUUCGGCGUGUACUGCAGCCACUGCCGGAGUGAGGUCCGUGGCACGCAGUGUGCCAUCUGCAAAGGCUUCACGUUCCAGUGUGCCAUCUGUCACGUGGCUGUGCGGGGAUCGUCCAAUUUCUGCCUGACCUGUGGGCACGGUGGCCACACCAGCCACAUGAUGGAGUGGUUUCGGACCCAGGAGGUGUGUCCCACCGGGUGUGGGUGCCACUGCCUGCUUGAAAGCACUUUCUGAACCUACAGAAGUUGGGUAUUGUCUGAAAUCCCAGAGGACCCAUAAGUGCCGGUGACAAGCUGUCUGUCAGGGGAGAGGCUCCAGAACCUGGGUUCGUCCCCAGUGAGACCGGAGGAUGAUCCCCCAAGGA